rnacentral:lncRNA from 1 species
UACCCCUCUUCUCCACUGUCACACAAGCCACCACGUUUCAACCUUCUUCCAUCACCAUCACCGGACCUGCAACUCUACGACAAAAACCCUUAAUCGUGCCACCGUCACCAGAAUCCCCAAAUCAUGUCGUCGUCGUGGCGAGAGUUGCCAUGGUUGUGCGAUUAGGGUUGAUGCAGUUCGCGUUACUUCUGGAGGCGCGGUUUUUUCAUUCGAUCCCUGCGUGAUGGUUAUAUGGUGUUAAAUCUGGUUUUUGCAAGUCUGAUUGUGGUUGCAGGUGGAGGCAAGAAGUGACGCGAUUCUAAUUUAGGGCUUUCGUUCAGUGUUCACACAUGGAGGCUCACAUCGCCCUCUCUAAUCUCUCCCUACCCUCCGACUACGUCGUCGCCAUGGUCCUCCCGUUUCCAAUCUCUACUCCCCCAGGCAUUCUGUAGAUUUUUCUUGAAGAGGCUUUGUUGGUAUUUUGCAGAUUUUUCUAGACUCCUUGGAUGACAAAGAAAAUGGGAAAGAUCAAAUUUUGAAACCUGUGAAGGUUUGAUCACUAGUUGUUUCCUCAAAGGGCUCAAAGAAUUUCAUGUCUCCAACCAUUUCUGCUUCCUGCAACAUCAAUGAGUCUCCCUGAAAGAAAGUCC